rnacentral:rRNA from 1 species
GUGUCAGCAGCCGCGGUAAUACGUAGGUGGCGAGCGUUGUCCGGAUUUAUUGGGCGUAAAGCGCCCGCAGGCGGCUUGAUAAGUUUCAGGUGAAAUCUCCUGGCUUAACUGGGAGGGGUCCUGGAAAACUGUCAGGCUUGAGGCAGGGAGAGGGAUGUGGAAUUCCCGGUGUAGUAGUGAAAUGCGUAGAUAUCGGGAGGAACACCAGUGGCGAAGGCGGCAUCCUGGCCCUGUCCUGACGCUCAGGGGCGAAAGCGUGGGGAGCAAACCGGAUUAGAAACCCCUGUAGUCC